CAGCUCAGUUGGUACAGCAUGAGGCUCUUAAUCUCAGGCUUGUGGGUUCGAGUCCCACAAAAGA